rnacentral:lncRNA from 1 species
UAUUUCUUUAUUUAUUUCCUUUUUUAAAGCUUUUUGUUUUUUUUUACUUUUUAUACAUUUUCCUAAUUAUUCAUUUAUUAUAUUUUUGUUAUAUAGUAUCUUUUUCUUUUUCUUUUUUUUUACAAAAAACCUUCUUUCUUAUCUUCAUUAUAUUAUUCUUUCACUACUUAUUUUCUUUUUUACUUUGAUUUUUUUUGUUGCUCUAAUCUAAUUGGUCAUUUACAUUAUUUUCUAUUAUUUUUUUCUUUUUGUACUCUUUUUACUUUUUAUCUUUAUUUUUUUCAUUUUUUUUUCUUAAGGUUUUUCUUCUUUUUAAUUUGUGUUUUUUAUCCACACUUCUUUCUUUUGUUUUUAUUUUUUAUUAACUUUUUUCUUUUUUUAAUUUUUUAUCAUUGAUUUUUUUAUAUCUUUAUUUCUUAUUAUUUGUUAUAUUUUUUUAUUUUUCGUUUGUAUUUUAUAAACUAAAAUUUUUUCUAUUGUCUUUUUCUUUUCUUUUUUUCAUUUUUAUUAGUUUUUGUAUUUUUUUUAAUUUUCUUACCUUUUUUAAUUGCGUUUUUGUUUAUUUUUAAUUUUUCUCUUUUUUAGUACUUAUUUUAUCUUUUUCCUUUUGCUUUACUAAUCUUUUAUUUUUUAUUGUUAAUUUUUGUUAUUUUUUAUAAAAAUUUUAUAAUGUUAUGGAUAUUUACUUUUAUUUUUUAAUCUUUUCUUCUUUUGGUUUGUUUCAUUUUUUUUGCUAUUAUCUAUUCUAUUUUUAUAAUUUUUCAUUAAUUCCUUUUUUUCUUUUAAUUUAUUUGUUCAUUUGCUUUCAUUCUUUUUGUUUUAAUUAUUUUUAUAUAUUUUGUAUUUUCAUUUUUUAUUGUUUUCUUGCUUUUUCUUAUAUCUUUUUGUUCACACUUUUUUUUAUUCCUUCUUUACAAUUUUAAAAUCUUAGACUUUUGUGUUUUUGUGAACUUCCUUUUGAUUUUAUUUAUAUUUUGUAUUGACUUUUAUUUUACUUUUUGUCUUUGAUUUUUUAUGUCUUUUUUUCUACAUUUGUUAUUUUUUUUUUCGUUUUUCUUUGUAUAUUCUAAACGAAAAUUUUUUUCUAUUUUAUAUUUGAAAUUUUUAUUCAUUUUAUCGUUUUAUAUUUUUUUAUUCUCUAAUUUUUUAUUUUCUUACUUUUUUACUUUUUGUUUUUGUUUAUUUUUAAUUGUUAUUUUUUUAGUAUUUUAUUUUAUUUUUUCAUUUAUAUUAAAUUUUUUUUCAAUUUUUGUAUUUUUGAUUCAUUAUUUUUUAUUAUCUUACCUUUUAUAUUUUUAUUGUAUUUUUGUUUCUUUUAUUUUUUUGUUUUACUUUAAUAUUGUUUUCUUAUUUUAUUUUUAUUUUUUAUUUCUUUCUUUAUUUAAAUUUUCAUAAAUUUUUAGAAUGUUUUGGAUUUUUUAUUUUUCGUAAAUCUUUUGUCUUUUCAUUUUUAUUCUUUUCUUAAAUUUUUUCACAAAUUUCUUUUUAUUUCUUAUUUUCAUUUUCAAAUUCUUAUAGUUUCUUUUGUUGCAUUUUCUUCUUUGGUUUUCAUUUUUAUUUUGAAUUAACUUUUCUCUCUUUUAAUUUUUUGUCUUUGAUUUUUUAUAUUGUUUUCUUAUUAUUUCUUAUAUGUUUUUCAAUUUUUUGUAUUUUUUAAAAUAUUUUUUUCUAUUUUGUCAUUUCCUUUCAUUUUUGAAAUUUUUAUUCAAUUUUUGUCUUUUUUUAUUCAUUAUUUUUUAUUUUCUUACUUUUUAUAUUUUUUAUUGUAUUUUUGUUUAUUUUAUAUUUUUUGUUUUGCUUUAAUAUUUUUUUCUUAUUUUUAUUUUUUAUUUCUUUCUUUAUUUAUAUUUUCAUAAAUUUUUAUAAUGUUUUGGAUUUUUUUAUUUUUCUAUCUUUUUUUCUUUUCUUUUUUUAUUUAUCAUUGUUGGUUAUUUUCUAUUGUAUUUUUAUAAUUUUUCAUUAACUCCUUUUCCUUUUUUUACAUAUUUUUUUUUUGUUUUCACUUUUUUCUUUGUUUUAAAAUUUUCUAUAAAACUUUUUUUCUUUUUGUUUUAUUUCAUAUUUUUGCCUCUUCAUUUUUUAUUUUUUCUUGUUUUUCUAAUUUUUUUCACAAAAUUCUUUUUAUUUCUUGUUUCCAUUUUUUUUUUACACUUCCUUAUUUUGUUUUUAUUUUUAUUUUGUUUUAACUUUUCCCUCUGUUAAUUUUUGUAUCUUUGAUUUUUUUUUAUUUUUUUCUUAUUACAUUAUUUUUGCUUGUAUUUUCUAAAUUAAUUUUUUUUCUACUUUCUCAUCCCUUUUCAUUUUUGAACUUCUUUUAAUUUUUUAUCUUUGAUUUUUUAUAUCUUUAUAUCUUAUUAUUUGUUAUAUUUUUUAUUUUUUGUUUGUAUUUUGUAAACUUAUUUUUUUUCAUUUUUAUUAGUUUUUGUAUUUUUUUUUAAAUUUUUUGACUCAUUUUUUCUUUUCCUUACUUCUUUAUUUUUUUCUUUUUCUCUUUUUUUAUUACUUAUUUUAUCUUUUUCCUUUUGCUUUAAUACUUUCUCUUAUUUUUUUCCCUUUUACUUUUUUUGUUAAUUUUUGUUAUUUUUUAUAAAAAUUUUAUAAUGUUAUGGAUAUUUACUUUAUAUUUUAAUCUUUUUUUCUUUUGGUUUGUCUCAUUUUUGCUGUCAUUUUUUAUAUUUUUGGUAUUUUCUAUUCUAUUUUUAUAAUUCUUCAGUAAUUUUUUUUUCUUUUUCUUUUAACUUAUUUGUUCAUUUGCUUUCUCUUUUUUGUUUUAAUUUUUUUAUUUUUUCUUGCUUUUUCUUAUAUCUUUUUGUUCACAUUUUUUUUUUAUUUCUUCUUUACAAUUUUAAAAUCUCAAGACUUCUCUUUUUGUGUACUUCCUUUUGCUUUUAUUUAUAUUUUGUAUUGACUUUUUAUUUUAUUUUUUAUCUUUGAUUAUUUGUCUUUUUUUUAUUUUGUUAUUUUUUUUUUGUUUCUCUUUGUAUAUUCUAAACUAAAAGUUUUUUCUAUUUUAUAUUUCAAAUUUUUCUUCACUUCGUCUUUUUAUAUUUUUUUAUUAGCUAAUUUUUUAUUUUCUUCCUUUUUUAUUUUUAUUUUUUCAUUUUCUUAUUUUGUCUUUUUUUUUCCUAUUUUUUGUUCUAUUUUAUAACUUUUCAAAAACUUUUUUCCAUCAAAAUUUUCUUUCUUUUUGCUUUUUGCUUUUUUUUCACAUGCUUUCAUUUUUAUUUUAUUUCAUUGUUUUAAUAUUUUUUACUUUCUUGUUUUCUUUUUUAUUUCAAAUCUUUUGUCUUUUCAUUUUUAUUCUAUUCUUGCUUUUCUUUUUUUUUCCCCAAAUUUCUUUUUAUUUCUUAUUUGCGUUUUUAAAUUCUCGUACUUUUUUUUUCAAUUUCUCCUUUGGUUUUCAUUUUUAUUUUGCAAUAACUUCUCUUUUUUAAUUUUUUGUCUUUGACUUUUUCUAUUGUUUUCUUGUUAUUUCUUAUAUGUUUUUCAAUUUUUUGUAUUUUUAAAACUAAUUUUUUUUAUUUUGUCAUUCUUUUUCACUUUCUAAAUUUUUAUUCAAUUUUUGUAUUUUUGAUUAAUUAUUUUUUAUUUUCUUACUUUUUAUAUUUUUAUUCAAUUUUUGUUUAUUUUUUAUUUUUUUUGUUUUACUUUAAUAGUCUUUUCUUAUUUUAUUUUUAUUUGGUUUAUUUUUUAUUUCUUUCUUUAUUUAAAUUUUCAUAAAUGUUUAGAAUGUUUUGGAUUUUUUAUUUUUCAUAAAUCUUUUGUCUUUUCAUUUUUAUUAUUUUCUUAAUUUUUUCACAAAUUUCUUUUUAUUUCUUAUUUUCAUUUUCAAAUUCUUAUAGUUUUUUUGUUGCAUUUUCUUCUUUGGUUUUCAUUUUUAUUUUGCAUUAACUUUUCUCUUUUUUAAUCUUUUGUCUUUGAUUUUUUAUAUGUUUUUCGAUUUUUUGUAUUUUUUAAAAUAUUUUUUUUCUAUUUUCUCAUUUCCUUUCCUUUUUGAAAUUUUUAUUCAAUUUUUGUCUUUUUUUAUUUUUUGUUUUUGAUUCCUUAUUUUUUAUUUUCUUACUUUUUAUAUUUUUUAUUGUAUUUUUGUUUAUUUACAUUUUAUAUUUUUUUCUUUUUUUAUAUUUUCAUAAAUUUUUAUAAUGUUUUGGAUUUUUUUAUCUUUUUAUCUUUUCUUUUUUUAUUUAUCGUUGUUGGUUAUUUUCUAUUGUAUUUUUAUAAUUUUCCAUUAACUCCUUUUCCUUUUAAAUUUUUCCCUUUUUUUUACUUGUUUUUUCAUGUGCUUUCAUAUUUUUUCUUUGUUUUAAAAUUUUCUAUAAAACUUUUUUUCUUUUUGUUUUAUUUCAUAUUUUUGCCUCUUCAUUUUUUAUUUUUUCUUGUUUUUCGAAUUUUUUUCACAAAAUUCUUUUAUUUCUUGUUUCCAUUUUUUUUUUUUUUGCACUUCCUUGUUUUGUUUUUAUUUUUAUUUUGUUUUAACUUUUCCCUCUGUUAAUUUUUGUAUCUUUGAUUUUUUUUAUUUUUUUCUUAUUACAUUAUUUUUGCUUGUAUUUUCUAAAUUAAAUUUUUUUCUACUUACUCAUCCCUUUUCAUUUUUUAACUUCUUUUAAUUUUUUAUCUCUGAUUUUUUAUAUCUUUAUAUCUUAUUAUUUGUUAUAUUUUUUAUUUUUUGUUUGUAUUUUAUAAACUAAAUUUGUUUUCUAUUUUGUCAUUUUUUCUUCGUUUUUGAAAUUUUUAUUAGCUUUUGUAUUUUUACAAUUUUUUCUUUUGACUCGUUAAUUUUUCAUUUCCUCACUUUUUUAUUUUUUUCUCUUUUUUAAUGCUUAUUUUAUCUUUUUUCCUUUCGCUUUAAUAUUUUCUCUUUUUUUCCUUUUAUUUUUUUAUUUUUGUUAUUUUGUUUUUUUAUAAAAAUUUUAUAAUGUUAUGGACAUUAAAACAUUGUUGAAUGAGACUUUGAUUUCAUUAGAAAUUGAAGAUGUUAUGUGCAUGUAUACUAAUUAGAUAUCUAAUUAAAAUCAUCUUGUAUUUUAUCUUGAAAUUUAUUUUUAUUUAUCGUGUAAUUUAUCUAAUUAACAAAAUUAUAUUGUAUAAUAUUUAUCUUUUAUUUAAUAGAAUUUGGAUUAUUUUAUUUAUUAUUUUGGAUUGUAUAAUAUUUAUCUUUUAUUUGAUACAAUUUGUUAAGAGAUAAUAAUUAUCUUUGUUAUUUUCUUUUGGAAUUUUAUUGGCUUAUAUAUAAUAACACUAGUUUGGAAUUGUUAUAUCUAUCAUGUAUUUAUAUUUUUACAUUUUUAACGAUUUAAAAAUUAAAAAUUUUAAAUUUAAAUCAAUAAAUUCAAAUCAAAAUAUUUUGCAUCUAAACUUUCAAAUUCAAAUUAAGUUUUAAAACAUAAAUUAAAGAUUGAACUUUGUAGAAUUUUUUUAUUUCUUUAUUUAUUUCCUUUUUUAAAGCUUUUUGUUUUUUUUUACUUUUUAUACAUUUUCCUAAUUAUUCAUUUAUUAUAUUUUUGUUAUAUAGUAUCUUUUUCUUUUUCUUUUUUUUUACAAAAAACCUUCUUUCUUAUCUUCAUUAUAUUAUUCUUUCACUACUUAUUUUCUUUUUUACUUUGAUUUUUUUGUUGCUCUAAUCUAAUUGGUCAUUUACAUUAUUUUCUAUUAUUUUUUUUCUUUUUGUACUCUUUUUACUUUUUAUCUUUAUUUUUUUCAUUUUUUUUCUUAAGGUUUUUCUUCUUUUUAAUUUGUGUUUUUUAUCCACACUUCUUUCUUUUGUUUUUAUUUUUUAUUAACUUUUUUCUUUUUUUAAUUUUUUAUCAUUGAUUUUUUUAUAUCUUUAUUUCUUAUUAUUUGUUAUAUUUUUUUAUUUUUCGUUUGUAUUUUAUAAACUAAAAUUUUUUCUAUUGUCUUUUUCUUUUCUUUUUUUCAUUUUUAUUAGUUUUUGUAUUUUUUUUAAUUUUCUUACCUUUUUUAAUUGCGUUUUUGUUUAUUUUUAAUUUUUCUCUUUUUUAGUACUUAUUUUAUCUUUUUCCUUUUGCUUUACUAAUCUUUUAUUUUUUAUUGUUAAUUUUUGUUAUUUUUUAUAAAAAUUUUAUAAUGUUAUGGAUAUUUACUUUUAUUUUUUAAUCUUUUCUUCUUUUGGUUUGUUUCAUUUUUUUUGCUAUUAUCUUUCUAUUUUUAUAAUUUUUCAUUAAUUCCUUUUUUCUUUUAAUUUAUUUGUUCAUUUGCUUUCAUUCUUUUUGUUUUAAUUAUUUUUAUAUAUUUUGUAUUUUCAUUUUUUAUUGUUUUCUUGCUUUUUCUUAUAUCUUUUUGUUCACACUUUUUUUUAUUCCUUCUUUACAAUUUUAAAAUCUUAGACUUUUGUUUUUUUGUGAACUUCCUUUUGAUUUUAUUUAUAUUUUGUAUUGACUUUUAUUUUAUUUUUUGUCUUUGAUUUUUUAUGUCUUUUUUUCUACAUUUGUUAUUUUUUUUUUGUUUUUCUUUGUAUAUUCUAAACGAAAAUUUUUUUCUAUUUUAUAUUUGAAAUUUUUAUUCAUUUUAUCGUUUUAUAUUUUUUUAUUCUCUAAUUUUUUAUUUUCUUACUUUUUUACUUUUUGUUUUUGUUUAUUUUUAAUUGUUAUUUUUUUAGUAUUUUAUUUUAUUUUUUCAUUUAUAUUAAAUUUUUUUUCAAUUUUUGUAUUUUUGAUUCAUUAUUUUUUAUUAUCUUACCUUUUAUAUUUUUAUUGUAUUUUUGUUUCUUUUAUUUUUUUUGUUUUACUUUAAUAUUGUUUUCUUAUUUUAUUUUUAUUUUUUAUUUCUUUCUUUAUUUAAAUUUUCAUAAAUUUUUAGAAUGUUUUGGAUUUUUUAUUUUUCGUAAAUCUUUUGUCUUUUCAUUUUUAUUCUUUUCUUAAAUUUUUUCACAAAUUUCUUUUUAUUUCUUAUUUUCAUUUUCAAAUUCUUAUAGUUUCUUUUGUUGCAUUUUCUUCUUUGGUUUUCAUUUUUAUUUUGAAUUAACUUUUCUCUCUUUUAAUUUUUUGUCUUUGAUUUUUUAUAUUGUUUUCUUAUUAUUUCUUAUAUGUUUUUCAAUUUUUUGUAUUUUUUAAAAUAUUUUUUUCUAUUUUGUCAUUUCCUUUCAUUUUUGAAAUUUUUAUUCAAUUUUUGUCUUUUUUUAUUCAUUAUUUUUUAUUUUCUUACUUUUUAUAUUUUUUAUUGUAUUUUUGUUUAUUUUAUAUUUUUUGUUUUGCUUUAAUAUUUUUUUCUUAUUUUUAUUUUUUAUUUCUUUCUUUAUUUAUAUUUUCAUAAAUUUUUAUAAUGUUUUGGAUUUUUUUAUUUUUCUAUCUUUUUUCUUUUUUUUUUUAUUUAUCAUUGUUGGUUAUUUUCUAUUGUAUUUUUAUAAUUUUUCAUUAACUCCUUUUCCUUUUUUACAUAUUUUUUUUUUGUUUUCACUUUUUUCUUUGUUUUAAAAUUUUCUAUAAAACUUUUUUUCUUUUUGUUUUAUUUCAUAUUUUUGCCUCUUCAUUUUUUAUUUUUUCUUGUUUUUCUAAUUUUUUUCACAAAAUUCUUUUUAUUUCUUGUUUCCAUUUUUUUUUUACACUUCCUUAUUUUGUUUUUAUUUUAUUUUGUUUUAACUUUUCCCUCUGUUAAUUUUUGUAUCUUUGAUUUUUUUUUAUUUUUUUCUUAUUACAUUAUUUUUGCUUGUAUUUUCUAAAUUAAUUUUUUUUCUACUUUCUCAUCCCUUUUCAUUUUUGAACUUCUUUUAAUUUUUUAUCUUUGAUUUUUUAUAUCUUUAUAUCUUAUUAUUUGUUAUAUUUUUUAUUUUUUGUUUGUAUUUUGUAAACUUAUUUUUUUCAUUUUUAUUAGUUUUUGUAUUUUUUUUUAAAAUUUUUUGACUCAUUUUUUCUUUUCCUUACUUCUUUAUUUUUUUAUUUUUUUCUUUUUUUAUUACUUAUUUUAUCUUUUUCCUUUUGCUUUAAUACUUUCUCUUAUUUUUUUCCCUUUUACUUUUUUUGUUAAUUUUUGUUAUUUUUUAUAAAAAUUUUAUAAUGUUAUGGAUAUUUACUUUAUAUUUUAAUCUUUUUUCUUUUGGUUUGUCUCAUUUUUGCUGUCAUUUUUUAUAUUUUUGGUAUUUUCUAUUCUAUUUUUAUAAUUCUUCAGUAAUUUUUUUUUCUUUUUCUUUUAACUUAUUUGUUCAUUUGCUUUCUCUUUUUGUUUUAAUUUUUUUAUUUUUUCUUGCUUUUUCUUAUAUCUUUUUGUUCACAUUUUUUUUUUAUUUCUUCUUUACAAUUUUAAAAUCUCAAGACUUCUCUUUUUGUGUACUUCCUUUUGCUUUUAUUUAUAUUUUGUAUUGACUUUUUAUUUUAUUUUUUAUCUUUGAUUAUUUGUCUUUUUUUAUUUUGUUAUUUUUUUUUGUUUCUCUUUGUAUAUUCUAAACUAAAAGUUUUUUCUAUUUUAUAUUUCAAAUUUUUCUUCACUUCGUCUUUUUAUAUUUUUUUAUUAGCUAAUUUUUUAUUUUCUUCCUUUUUAUUUUGUUUAUUUUUUCUUUAUAUUAAUAUUUUUUCUUAAUUUUUUUUUUCAUUUUCUUAUUUUGUCUUUUUUUUCCUAUUUUUUGUUCUAUUUUAUAACUUUUCAAAAACUUUUUUCCAUCAAAAUUUUCUUUCUUUUUGCUUUUUUUUUUUUUUCACAUGCUUUCAUUUUUAUUUUAUUUCAUUGUUUUAAUAUUUUUUACUUUCUUGUUUUCUUUUUUAUUUCAAAUCUUUUGUCUUUUCAUUUUUAUUCUAUUCUUGCUUUUCUUUUUUUUUUCCCAAAUUUCUUUUUAUUUCUUAUUUGCGUUUUUAAAUUCUCGUACUUUUUUUUUCAAUUUCUCCUUUGGUUUUCAUUUUUAUUUUGCAAUAACUUCUCUUUUUUAAUUUUUUGUCUUUGACUUUUUCUAUUGUUUUCUUGUUAUUUCUUAUAUGUUUUUCAAUUUUUUGUAUUUUUAAAACUAAUUUUUUUUAUUUUGUCAUUCUUUUUCACUUUCUAAAUUUUUAUUCAAUUUUUGUAUUUUUGAUUAAUUAUUUUUUAUUUUCUUACUUUUUAUAUUUUUAUUAUUUUUGUUUAUUUUUUAUUUUUUUUGUUUUACUUUAAUAUUCUUUUCUUAUUUUAUUUUUAUUUGGUUUAUUUUUUAUUUCUUUCUUUAUUUAAAUUUUCAUAAAUGUUUAGAAUGUUUUGGAUUUUUAUUUUUCAUAAAUCUUUUGUCUUUUCAUUUUUAUUAUUUUCUUAAUUUUUUCACAAAUUUCUUUUUAUUUCUUAUUUUCAUUUUCAAAUUCUUAUAGUUUUUUUGUUGCAUUUUCUUCUUUGGUUUUCAUUUUAUUUUGCAUUAACUUUUCUCUUUUUUAAUCUUUUGUCUUUGAUUUUUUAUAUGUUUUUCGAUUUUUUGUAUUUUUUAAAAUAUUUUUUUUCUAUUUUCUCAUUUCCUUUCCUUUUUGAAAUUUUUAUUCAAUUUUGUCUUUUUUUAUUUUUGUUUUUGAUUCCUUAUUUUUUAUUUUCUUACUUUUUAUAUUUUUUAUUGUAUUUUUGUUUAUUUACAUUUAUAUUUUUUCUUUUUUUAUAUUUUCAUAAAUUUUUAUAAUGUUUUGGAUUUUUUAUCUUUUAUCUUUCUUUUUUAUUUAUCGUUGUUGGUUAUUUUCUAUUGUAUUUUUAUAAUUUUCCAUUAACUCCUUUUCCUUUUAAAUUUUUCCCUUUUUUUUACUUGUUUUUUCAUGUGCUUUCAUAUUUUUUUUCCUUUUUGUUUUAAAAUUUUCUAUAAAACUUUUUUUCUUUUUGUUUUAUUUCAUAUUUUUGCCUCUUCAUUUUUUAUUUUUUCUUGUUUUUCGAAUUUUUUUCACAAAAUUCUUUUAUUUCUUGUUUCCAUUUUUUUUUUUUUUGCACUUCCUUGUUUUGUUUUUAUUUUUAUUUUGUUUUAACUUUUCCCUCUGUUAAUUUUUGUAUCUUUGAUUUUUUUUAUUUUUUUCUUAUUACAUUAUUUUUGCUUGUAUUUUCUAAAUUAAAUUUUUUUCUACUUAGUCAUCCCUUUUCAUUUUUUAACUUCUUUUAAUUUUUUAUCUCUGAUUUUUUAUAUCUUUAUAUCUUAUUAUUUGUUAUAUUUUUUAUUUUUUGUUUGUAUUUUAUAAACUAAAUUUGUUUUCUAUUUUGUCAUUUUUUCUUCGUUUUUGAAAUUUUUAUUAGCUUUUGUAUUUUUACAAUUUUUUCUUUUGACUCGUUAAUUUUUCAUUUCCUCACUUUUUUAUUUUUUUCUCCUUUUUAAUGCUUAUUUUAACUUUUUCCUUUUGCUUUAAUAUUUUCUCUUUUUUUUCCUUUUAUUUUUUAUUUUUUGUUAUUUUUGUUUUUUUAUAAAAAUUUUAUAAUGUUAUGGACAUUAAAACAUUGUUGAAUGAGACUUUGAUUUCAUUAGAAAUUGAAGAUGUUAUGUGCAUGUAUACUAAUUAGAUAUCUAAUUAAAAUCAUCUUGUAUUUUAUCUUGAAAUUUAUUUUUAUUUAUCGUGUAAUUUAUCUAAUUAACAAAAUUAUAUUGUAUAAUAUUUAUCUUUUAUUUAAUAAAAUUUGGAUUAUUUUAUUUAUUAUUUUGGAUUGUAUAAUAUUUAUCUUUUAUUUGAUACAAUUUGUUAAGGGAUAAUAAUUAUCUUUGUUAUUUUCUUUUGGAAUUUUAUUGGCUUAUAUAUAAUAACACUAGUUUGGAAUUGUUAUAUCUAUCAUGUAUUUAUAUUUUUACAUUUUUAACGAUUUAAAAAUUAAAAAUUUUAAAUUUAAAUCAAUAAAUUCAAAUCAAAAUAUUUUGCAUCUAAACUUUCAAAUUCAAAUUAAGUUUUAAAACAUAAAUUAAAGAUUGAACUUUGUAGAAUUUUUUUAUUUCUUUAUUUAUUUCCUUUUUUAAAGCUUUUUGUUUUUUUUUACUUUUUAUACAUUUUCCUAAUUAUUCAUUUAUUAUAUUUUUGUUAUAUAGUAUCUUUUUCUUUUUCUUUUUUUUUACAAAAAACCUUCUUUCUUAUCUUCAUUAUAUUAUUCUUUCACUACUUAUUUUCUUUUUUACUUUGAUUUUUUUGUUGCUCUAAUCUAAUUGGUCAUUUACAUUAUUUUCUAUUAUUUUUUUUCUUUUGUACUCUUUUUACUUUUUAUCUUUAUUUUUUUCAUUUUUUUUCUUAAGGUUUUUUUUGCUUCUUUUUAAUUUGUGUUUUUAUCCACACUUCUUUCUUUUGUUUUUAUUUUUUAUUAACUUUUUUCUUUUUUAAUUUUUUAUCAUUGAUUUUUUUAUAUCUUUUAUUUCUUAUUAUUGUUAUAUUUUUUAUUUUUCGUUUGAUUUUAUAAACUAAAAUUUUUUCUAUUGUCUUUUUCUUUUCUUUUUUUCAUUUUAUUAGUUUUGUAUUUUUUUAAUUUUCUUACCUUUUUUAAUUGCGUUUUUGUUUAUUUUUAAUUUUUCUCUUUUUAGUACUUAUUUUAUCUUUUUCCUUUGCUUUACUAAUCUUUUAUUUUUUAUUGUUAAUUUUUGUUAUUUUUUAUAAAAAUUUUAUAAUGUUAUGGAUAUUUACUUUAUUUUUAAUCUUUUCUUCUUUUGGUUUGUUUCAUUUUUUUUGCUAUUAUCUAUUCUAUUUUUAUUAAUUUUUCAUUAAUUCCUUUUUUCUUUUAAUUUAUUUGUUCAUUUGCUUUCAUUCUUUUUGUUUUAAUUAUUUUUAUAUAUUUUGUAUUUUCAUUUUUUAUUGUUUUCUUGCUUUUUCUUAUAUCUUUUUGUUCACACUUUUUUUUAUUCCUUCUUUACAAUUUUUGAAAUCUUAGACUUUUGUUUUUUUGUGAACUUCCUUUUGAUUUUAUUUAUAUUUUGUAUUGACUUUUAUUUUACUUUUUGUCUUUGAUUUUUUAUGUCUUUUUUCUACAUUUGUUAUUUUUUUUUGUUUUUCUUUGUAUAUUCUAAACGAAAAUUUUUUUCUAUUUUAUAUUUGAAAUUUUUAUUCAUUUUAUCGUUUUAUAUUUUUUUAUUUUCUUACUUUUUUACUUUUUGUUUUUGUUUAUUUUUAAUUGUUAUUUUUUUAGUAUUUUAUUUUAUUUUUUCAUUUAUAUUAAAUUUUUUUCAAUUUUUGUAUUUUUGAUUCAUUAUUUUUAUUAUCUUACCUUUUAUAUUUUUAUUGUAUUUUUGUUUCUUUUAUUUUUUUGUUUUACUUUAAUAUUGUUUUCUUAUUUUAUUUUUAUUUUUUAUUUCUUUCUUUAUUUAAAUUUUCAUAAAUUUUUAGAAUGUUUUGGAUUUUUUAUUUUUCAUAAAUCUUUUGUCUUUUCAUUUUUAUUCUUUUCUUAAAUUUUUUCACAAAUUUCUUUUUAUUUCUUAUUUUCAUUUUCAAAUUCUCAUAGUUUCUUUUGUUGCAUUUUCUUCUUUGGUUUUCAUUUUUAUUUUGAAUUAACUUUUCUCCCUUUUAAUUUUUUGUCUUUGAUUUUUUAUAUUGUUUUCUUAUUAUUUCUUAUAUGUUUUUCAAUUUUUUGUAUUUUUUAAAAUAUUUUUUUCUAUUUUGUCAUUUCCUUUCAUUUUUGAAAUUUUUAUUCAAUUUUUGUCUUUUUUUAUUCAUUAUUUUUUAUUUUCUUACUUUUUAUAUUUUUUAUUGUAUUUUUGUUUAUUUUAUAUUUUUUGUUUUGCUUUAAUAUUUUUUUCUUAUUUUUAUUUUUUAUUUCUUUCUUUAUUUAUAUUUUCAUAAAUUUUUAUAAUGUUUUGGAUUUUUUUAUUUUUCUAUCUUUUUUUCUUUUCUUUUUUUAUUUAUCAUUGUUGGUUAUUUUCUAUUGUAUUUUUAUAAUUUUUCAUUAACUCCUUUUCCUUUUUUUACAUAUUUUUUUUUUGUUUUCACUUUUUUCUUUGUUUUAAAAUUUUCUAUAAAACUUUUUUCUUUUUGUUUUAUUUCAUAUUUUUGCCUCUUCAUUUUUUAUUUUUUUCUUGUUUUUCUAAUUUUUUCACAAAUUUCUUUUUAUUUCUUGUUUCCAUUUUUUUUUUACACUUCCUUGUUUUGUUUUUAUUUUUAUUUUGUUUUAACUUUUCCCUCUGUUAAUUUUUGUAUCUUUGAUUUUUUUUAUUUUUUCUUAUUACAUUAUUUUUGCUUGUAUUUUCUAAAUUAAUUUUUUUCUACUUUCUCAUCCCUUUUCAUUUUUGAACUUCUUUUAAUUUUUAUCUUUGAUUUUUAUAUCUUUAUAUCUUAUUAUUUGUUAUAUUUUUUAUUUUUUGUUUGUUAUUUUGUAAACUUAUUUUUUUCAUUUUUAUUAGUUUUUGUAUUUUUUUUUAAAUUUUUUGACUCAUUUUUCUUUUCCUUACUUCUUUAUUUUUUUUUUUUCUCUUUUAUUACUUAUUUUAUCUUUUUCCUUUUGCUUUAAUACUUUCUCUUUUUUUUUCCUUACUUUUUUAAUUUUUGUUAUUUUUUAUAAAAUUUAUAAUGUUAUGGAUAUUUACUUUAUAUUUUAAUCUUUUUUUCUUUGUUUGUCUCAUUUUUGCUGUCAUUUUUAUAUUUUUGUAUUUUCUAUUCUAUUUUAUAAUUCUUCAGUAAUUUUUUUUUUUUUUCUUUUAACUUAUUUGUAUCUUAUUUUUCUUGGUUUGUUCUUUGCUUGGUAUUUUUCUAUUUUUUUGUAUGUUCUUAUUUUUAUAUUCUAUUUUAUUUUAAUUCUUUUUCUUUUUCUUUUAACUUAUUUUAAAAUCUCAAGACUUCUCUUUUUGUGUACUUCCUUUUGCUUUUGUUUAUAUUUUGUAUUGACUUUUUAUUUUAUUUUUUAUCUUUGAUUAUUUGUCCUUUUUUUAUUUUGUUAUAUUUUUUUUUUGUUUCUCUUUGUAUAUUCUAAACUAAAAGUUUUUUCUAUUUUAUAUUUCAAAUUUUUCUUCACUUCGUCUUUUUAUAUUUUUUUAUUUUCUUCCUUUUUUAUUUUUUGUUUUUGUUUAUUUUUUUCUUUUAUAUUAAUAUUUUCUUAAUUAUUUUUCAUUUUCUUAUUUUGUCUUUUUUUUUCCUAUUUUUUGUUCUAUUUUAUAACUUUUCAAAAACUUUUUUCCAUCGAAAUUUCUUUCUUUUUGCUUUUUUUUUUUUCACAUGCUUUCAUUUUUAUUUUAUUUCAUUGUUUUAAUAUUUUUUACUUCUUGUUUCUUUUUAUUUCAAAUCUUUUGUCUUUCAUUUUUAUUCUAAUCUUGCUUUUCUUAUUUUUUUUCCCAAAUUUCUUUUUAUUUCUUAUUUGCGUUUUUAAAUUCUCGUACUUUUUUUUUUCAAUUUCUCUUUUGGUUUUCAUUUUUAUUUUGCAAUAACUUCUCUUUUUUAAUUUUUUGUCUUUGACUUUUUCUAUUGUUUUUCUUGUUAUUUCUUAUAUGUUUUUCAAUUUUUGUUAUUUUUAAAACUAAUUUUUUUAUUUGUCAUUCUUUUUCACUUUCUAAAUUUUUAUUCAAUUUUUGUAUUUUUGAUUAAUUAUUUUUUAUUUUCUUACUUUUUAUAUUUUUAUUGUAUUUUUGUUUAUUUUUUAUUUUUUUAUUUUUUUGUUUUACUUUAAUAUUCUUUUCUUAUUUUAUUUUUAUUUCUUUCUUUAUUUAAAUUUUCAUAAAUCUUUUGUCUUUUCAUUUUUAUUAUUUUCUUAAUUUUUUCACAAAUUUCUUUUUAUUUCUUAUUUUCAUUUUCAAAUUCUUAUAGUUUUUUUGUUGCAUUUUCUUCUUUGGUUUUCAUUUUUAUUUUGCAUUAACUUUUCUCUUUUUUAAUCUUUUGUCUUUGAUUUUUUAUAUUGUUUUCUUAAUAUUUCUUAUAUGUUUUUCGAUUUUUUGUAUUUUUUAAAAUAUUUUUUUUCUAUUUUGUCAUUUCCUUUCAUUUUUGAAAUUUUUAUUCAAAUUUUGUCUUUUUUUAUUUUUGUUUUUGAUUCUUAUUUUUAUUUUCUUACUUUUAUAUUUUUUUCUUAUUUUUUAAUUUUUAUUUUCUUCUUUAUUUAUAUUUUCAUAAAUUUUUAUAAUGUUUUUUGAUUUUUUAUCUUUUAUCUUUUCUUUUUUUAUUUAUCGUUGUUGGUUAUUUCUAUUGUAUUUUUAAUUUUCCAUUAACUCCUUUUCCUUUUAAAUUUUUCCCUUUUUUUACUUGUUUUUUCAUGUGCUUUCAUAUUUUUUUUUUGUUUUCACUUUUUUCUUUGUUUUAAAAUUUUCUAUAAAACUUUUUUUCUUUUGUUUUAUUUCAUAUUUUUGCCUCUUCAUUUUUUAUUUUUUCUUGUUUUUCGAAUUUUUUUCACAAAAUUCUUUUAUUUCUUGUUUCCAUUUUUUUUUUUUUGCACUUCCUUGUUUUGUUUUUAUUUUUAUUUUGUUUUAACUUUUCCCUCUGUUAAUUUUUGUAUCUUUGAUUUUUUUUAUUUUUUUCUUAUUACAUUAUUUUUGCUUGUAUUUUCUAAAUUAAAUUUUUUCUACUUUGUCAUCCCUUUUCAUUUUUUAACUUCUUUUAAUUUUUUAUCUCUGAUUUUUAUAUCUUUAUAUCUUAUUAUUUGUUAUAUUUUUAUUUUUUGUUUGUAUUUUAUAAACUAAAUUUGUUUUCUAUUUUGUCAUUUUUUCUUCAUUUUUGAAAUUUUUAUUAGCUUUUGUAUUUUACAAUUUUUUCUUUUGACUCGUUAAUUUUUCAUUUCCUCACUUUUUUAUUUUUUCUAUUUUGUGCUCUUUUUAAUUUUUUUUUUCUUUUUUAAUGCUUAUUUUAUCUUUUUUCCUUUCGCUUUAAUAUUUUCUCUUUUUUUUCCUUUUAUUUUUUAUUUUUAUUUUUUUUUUUUUAUAAAAUUUUAUAAUGUUAUGGACAUUAAAACAUUGUUGAAUGAGACUUUGAUUUCAUUAGAAAUUGAAGAUGUUAUGUGCAUGUAUACUAAUUAGAUAUCUAAUUAAAAUCAUCUUGUAUUUUAUCUUGAAAUUUAUUUUUAUUUAUCGUGUAAUUUAUCUAAUUAACAAAAUUAUAUUGUAUAAUAUUUAUCUUUUAUUUAAUAAAAUUUGGAUUAUUUUAUUUAUUAUUUUGGAUUGUAUAAUAUUUAUCUUUUAUUUGAUACAAUUUGUUAAGAGAUAAUAAUUAUCUUUGUUAUUUUCUUUUGGAAUUUUAUUGGCUUAUAUAUAAUAACACUAGUUUGGAAUUGUUAUAUCUAUCGUGUAUUUAUAUUUUUACAUUUUUAACGAUUUAAAAAUUAAAAAUUUUAAAUUUAAAUCAAUAAAUUCAAAUCAAAAUAUUUUGCAUCUAAACUUUCAAAUUCAAAUUAAGUUUUAAAACAUAAAUUAAAGAUUGAACUUUGUAGAAUUUUUUUAUUUCUUUAUUUAUUUCCUUUUUUAAAGCUUUUUGUUUUUUUUUACUUUUUAUACAUUUUCCUAAUUAUUCAUUUAUUAUAUUUUUGUUAUAUAUCUUUUUCUUUUUUUUUUUUUUUUUUUACAAAAAACCUUCUUUCUUAUCUUCAUUAUAUUAUUCUUUCACUACUUAUUUUCUUUUUUACUUUGAUUUUUUUGUUGCUCUAAUCUAAUUGGUCAUUUACAUUAUUUUCUAUUAUUUUUUUCUUUUUGUACUCUUACUUUUAUCUUUUUUUUUUUUUUUUCUUUUUUUUUCUUAAGGUUUUUCUUCUUUUUAAUUUGUGUUUUUUAUCCACACUUCUUUCUUUUGUUUUUAUUUUUUAUUAACUUUUUUCUUUUUUUAAUUUUUUAUCAUUGAUUUUUUUAUAUCUUUAUUUCUUAUUAUUUGUUAUAUUUUUAUUUUUCGUUUGUAUUUUAUAAACUAAAAUUUUUUCUAUUGUCUUUUUCUUUUCUUUUUUCAUUUUUAUUAGUUUUUUAUUUUUUUUUAAUUUUCUUACUUUUUUAAUUGCGUUUUUGUUUAUUUUUAAUUUUUCUCUUUUUUAGUACUUAUUUUAUCUUUUUCCUUUUGCUUUACUAAUCUUUUAUUUUUUAUUGUUAAUUUUUGUUAUUUUUUAUAAAAAUUUUAUAAUGUUAUGGAUAUUUACUUUUAUUUUUUAAUCUUUUCUUCUUUUGGUUUGUUUCAUUUUUUUUGCUAUUAUCUAUUCUAUUUUUAUAAUUUUUCAUUAAUUCCUUUUUUUCUUUUAAUUUAUUUGUUCAUUUGCUUUCAUUCUUUUUGUUUUAAUUAUUUUUAUAUAUUUUGUAUUUUCAUUUUUUAUUGUUUUCUUGCUUUUUCUUAUAUCUUUUUGUUCACACUUUUUUUUAUUCCUUCUUUACAAUUUUAAAAUCUUAGACUUUUGUUUUUUUGUGAACUUCCUUUUGAUUUUAUUUAUAUUUUGUAUUGACUUUUAUUUUACUUUUUGUCUUUGAUUUUUUAUGUCUUUUUUUCUACAUUUGUUUUUUUUUUUUGUUUUUCUUUGUAUAUUCUAAACGAAAAUUUUUUUCUAUUUUAUUUGAAAUUUUUAUUCAUUUUAUCGUUUUAUAUUUUUUUAUUCUCUAAUUUUUUAUUUUCUUACUUUUUUACUUUUUGUUUUUGUUUAUUUUUAAUUGUUAUUUUUUUAGUAUUUUAUUUUAUUUUUUCAUUUAUAUUAAAUUUUUUUUCAAUUUUUGUAUUUUUGAUUCAUUAUUUUUUAUUAUCUUACCUUUUAUAUUUUUAUUGUAUUUUUGUUUCUUUUAUUUUUUUUGUUUUACUUUAAUAUUGUUUUCUUAUUUUAUUUUUAUUUUUUAUUUCUUUCUUUAUUUAAAUUUUCAUAAAUUUUUAGAAUGUUUUGGAUUUUUUAUUUUUCGUAAAUCUUUUGUCUUUUCAUUUUUAUUCUUUUCUUAAAUUUUUUCACAAAUUUCUUUUUAUUUCUUAUUUUCAUUUUCAAAUUCUUAUAGUUUCUUUUGUUGCAUUUUCUUCUUUGGUUUUCAUUUUUAUUUUGAAUUACCUUUUCUCUCUUUUAAUUUUUUGUCUUUGAUUUUUUAUAUUGUUUUCUUAUUAUUUCUUAUAUGUUUUUCAAUUUUUUGUAUUUUUAAAAUAUUUUUUCUAUUUUGUCAUUUCCUUUCAUUUUUGAAAUUUUUAUUCAUUUUUGUCUUUUUUAUUCAUUAUUUUUUAUUUUCUUACUUUUUAUAUUUUUUAUUGUAUUUUUGUUUAUUUUAUAUUUUUGUUUGCUUAAUAUUUUUUUCUUAUUUUUAUUUUUUAUUUCUUUCUUUAUUUAUAUUUCAUUAAUUUUUAUAAUGUUUUGGAUUUUUUUAUUUUUCUAUCUUUUUUCUUUCUUUUUUAUUUAUCAUUGUUGGUUAUUUUCUAUUGUAUUUUUAUAAAUUUUCCAUUAACUCCUUUUCCUUUUUUUACAUAUUUUUUUUUUGUUUUCACUUUUUUCUUUGUUUUAAAAUUUUCUAUAAAACUUUUUUUCUUUUUGUUUUAUUUCAUAUUUUUGCCUCUUCAUUUUUUUAUUUUUUCUUGUUUUUCUAAUUUUUUCACAAAUUCUUUUUAUUUCUUGUUUCCAUUUUUUUUUACACUUCCUUAUUUUGUUUUUUUUGUUUAACUUUUCCCUCUGUUAAUUUUGUAUCUUGAUUUUUUUUAUUUUUUUCUUAUUACAUUAUUUUUGCUUGUAUUUUCUAAAUUAAUUUUUUUCUACUUUCUCAUCCCUUUUCAUUUUUGAACUUCUUUUAAUUUUUUAUCUUUGAUUUUUUAUAUCUUAUAUCUUAUUAUUGUUAUAUUUUUUAUUUUUGUUUGUAUUUUGUAAACUUAAUUUUUUUCAUUUUUAUUAGUUUUGUAUUUUUUUUUAAAAUUUUUUGACUCAUUUUUCUUUCCUUACUUCUUUAUUUUUUUAUUUUCUUUUUUUUAUUACUUAUUUUAUCUUUUUCCUUUUGCUUUAAUACUUUCUCUUAUUUUUUUCCCUUUUACUUUUUUUGUUAAUUUUUGUUAUUUUUUAUAAAAAUUUUAUAAUGUUAUGGAUAUUUACUUUAUAUUUUAAUCUUUUUUCUUUUGGUUUGUCUCAUUUUUGCUGUCAUUUUUAUAUUUUUGGUAUUUUCUAUUCUAUUUUUAUAAUUCUUCAGUAAUUCUUUUUUUCUUUUUCUUUUAACUUAUUUGUUCAUUUGCUUUCUCUUUUUUGUUUUAAUUUUUUUAUAUUUUUGUAUUUAAUUUUUAUUUUUCUUGCUUUUUCUUAUAUCUUUUUGUUCACAUUUUUUUUUAUUUCUUCUUUACAAUUUUAAAAUCUCAAGACUUCUCUUUUUGUGUACUUCCUUUUGCUUUUAUUUAUAUUUUGUAUUGACUUUUUAUUUUAUUUUUUAUCUUUGAUUAUUUGUCUUUUUUUUAUUUUGUUAUAUUUUUUUUGUUUCUCUUUGUAUAUUCUAAACUAAAAGUUUUUUCUAUUUUAUAUUUCAAAUUUUUCUUCACUUCGUCUUUUUAUAUUUUUUUAUUAGCUAAUUUUUUAUUUUCUUCCUUUUUUAUUUUUGUUUAUUUUUUUCUUUUAUAUUAAUAUUUUUAUUUUUAUUUUUUCAUUUUCUUAUUUUGUCUUUUUUUUUUCCUAUUUUUUGUUCUAUUUUAUAACUUUUCAAAAACUUUUUUCCAUCAAAAUUUUCUUUCUUUUUGCUUUUUUUUUUUUCACAUGCUUUCAUUUUUAUUUUAUUUCAUUGUUUUAAUAUUUUUUACUUUCUUGUUUUCUUUUUUAUUUCAAAUCUUUUGUCUUUUCAUUUUAUUCUAUUCUUGCUUUUCUUUUUUUUUUUCCCAAAUUUCUUUUUAUUUCUUAUUUGCGUUUUUAAAUUCUCGUACUUUUUUUUUUCAAUUUCUCCUUUGGUUUUCAUUUUUAUUUUGCAAUAACUUCUCUUUUUUUAAUUUUUUGUCUUUGACUUUUUCUAUUGUUUUCUUGUUAUUUCUUAUAUGUUUUUCAAUUUUUUGUAUUUUUAAAACUAAUUUUUUUUAUUUUGUCAUUCUUUUUCACUUUCUAAAUUUUUAUUCAAUUUUUGUAUUUUUGAUUAAUUAUUUUUUAUUUUCUUACUUUUUAUAUUUUUAUUGUAUUUUUGUUUAUUUUUUAUUUUUUAUUUUUUUUGUUUUACUUUAAUAUUCUUUUCUUAUUUUAUUUUUAUUUGGUUUAUUUUUAUUUCUUUCUUUAUUUAAAUUUUCAUAAAUGUUUAGAUGUUUUGGAUUUUUUAUUUUUCAUAAAUCUUUUGUCUUUUCAUUUUUAUUAUUUUCUUAAUUUUUUCACAAUUUCUUUUUAUUUCUUAUUUUCAUUUUCAAAUUCUUAUACUUUUUUGUUGCAUUUUCUUCUUUGGUUUUCAUUUUUAUUUUGCAUUAACUUUUCUCUUUUUUAAUCUUUUGUCUUUGAUUUUUAUAUUGUUUUCUUAUUAUUCUUAUAUGUUUUUCGAUUUUUUGUAUUUUUUAAAAUAUUUUUUUUCUAUUUUGUCAUUUCCUUUCAUUUUUGAAAUUUUUAUUCAAUUUUUGUCUUUUUUUAUUUUUUGUUUUUGAUUCCUUAUUUUUUAUUUUCUUACUUUUUAUAUUUUUUAUUGUAUUUUUGUUUAUUUACAUUUUAUAUUUUUUUCUUUAUUUAUAUUUUCAUAAAUUUUUAUAAUGUUUUGGAUUUUUUUAUCUUUUCUUUUUUUAUUUAUCGUUGUUGGUUAUUUUCUAUUGUAUUUUUAUAAUUUUCCAUUAACUCCUUUUCCUUUUAAAUUUUUCCCUUUUUUUACUUGUUUUUUCAUGUGCUUUCAUAUUUUUUCUUUGCUUUAAAAUUUUCUAUAAAACUUUUUUUCUUUUUGUUUUAUUUCAUAUUUUUGCCUCUUCAUUUUUUAUUUUUUCUUGUUUUUCGAAUUUUUUUCACAAAAUUCUUUUAUUUCUUGUUUCCAUUUUUUUUUUUUUGCACUUCCUUGUUUUGUUUUUAUUUUUAUUUUGUUUUAACUUUCCCUCUGUUAAUUUUUGUAUCUUUGAUUUUUUUAUUUUUUCUUAUUACAUUAUUUUUGCUUGUAUUUUCUAAAUUAAAUUUUUUUCUACUUUGUCAUCCCUUUUCAUUUUUUAACUUCUUUUAAUUUUUUAUCUCUGAUUUUUUAUAUCUUUAUAUCUUAUUAUUUGUUAUAUUUUUAUUUUUGUUUGUAUUUUAUAAACUAAAUUUGUUUUCUAUUUUGUCAUUUUUUCUUCGUUUUUGAAAUUUUUAUUAGCUUUUGUAUUUUUACAAUUUUUUCUUUUGACUCGUUAAUUUUUCAUUUCCUCACUUUUUUAUUUUUUUUUCUCUUUUUUAAUGCUUAUUUUAUCUUUUUUCCUUUCGCUUUAAUAUUUUCUCUUUUUUUUCCUUUUAUUUUUUAUUUUUAAUUUUUGUUAUUUUGUUUUUUUAUAAAAAUUUAUAAUGUUAUGGACAUUAAAACAUUGUUGAAUGAGACUUUGAUUUCAUUAGAAAUUGAAGAUGUUAUGUGCAUGUAUACUAAUUAGAUAUCUAAUUAAAAUCAUCUUGUAUUUAUCUUGAAAUUUAUUUUUAUUUAUCGUGUAAUUUAUCUAAUUAACAAAAUUAUAUUGUAUAAUAUUUAUCUUUUAUUUAAUAAAAUUUGGAUUAUUUUAUUUAUUAUUUUGGAUUGUAUAAUAUUUAUCUUUUAUUUGAUACAAUUUGUUAAGAGAUAAUAAUUAUCUUUGUUAUUUUCUUUUGGAAUUUUAUUGGCUUAUAUAUAAUAACACUAGUUUGGAAUUGUUAUAUCUAUCAUGUAUUUAUAUUUUUACAUUUUUAACGAUUUAAAAAUUAAAAAUUUUAAAUUUAAAUCAAUAAAUUCAAAUCAAAAUAUUUUGCAUCUAAACUUUCAAAUUCAAAUUAAGUUUUAAAACAUAAAUUAAAGAUUGAACUUUGUAGAAUUUUUUUAUUUCUUUAUUUAUUUCCUUUUUUAAAGCUUUUUGUUUUUUUUUACUUUUUAUACAUUUUCCUAAUUAUUCAUUUAUUAUAUUUUUGUUAUAUAGUAUAUUUUUCUUUUCUUUUUUUUUUUACAAAAAACCUUCUUUCUUAUCUUCAUUAUAUUAUUCUUUCACUACUUAUUUUCUUUUUUACUUUGAUUUUUUUGUUGCUCUAAUCUAAUUGGUCAUUUACAUUAUUUUCUAUUAUUUUUUUUUCUUUUUGUACUCUUUUUACUUUUUAUCUUUAUUUUUUUCAUUUUUUUUUCUUAAGGUUUUUCUUCUUUUUAAUUGUGUUUUUUUCCACACUUCUUUCUUUUGUUUUUAUUUUUUAUUAACUUUUUUCUUUUUUUAAUUUUUUAUCAUUGAUUUUUUUUUUUAUCUUUAUUUCUUAUUAUUUGUUAUAUUUUUUAUUUUUCGUUUGUAUUUUAUAAACUAAAAUUUUUUCUAUUGUCUUUUUCUUUUUAUUUUUUUUAAUUUUCUUACUUUUUUUAAUUGCGUUUUUGUUUAUUUUUAAUUUUUCUCUUUUUUAGUACUUAUUUUAUCUUUUUCCUUUUAUUUUUUAUAAUAAUUUUUGUUAUUUUUUAUAAAAAUUUUAUAAUGUUAUGGAUAUUUACUUUUAUUUUUUAAUCUUUCCUUCUUUUGGUUUGUUUCAUUUUUUUUGCUAUUAUCUAUUCUAUUUUUAUAAUUUUUCAUUAAUUCCUUUUUUUCUUUUAAUUUAUUUGUUCAUUUGCUUUCAUUCUUUUUGUUUUAAUUAUUUUUAUAUAUUUUGUAUUUUCAUUUUUUAUUGUUUUCUUGCUUUUUCUUAUAUCUUUUUGUUCACGCUUUUUUUUAUUCCUUCUUUACAAUUUUAAAAUCUUAGACUUUUGUUUUUUUGUGAACUUCCUUUUGAUUUUAUUUAUAUUUUGUAUUGACUUUUAUUUUAUUUUUUGUCUUUGAUUUUUUAUGUCUUUUUUUCUACAUUUGUUAUUUUUUUUUGUUUUUCUUUGUAUAUUCUAAACGAAAAUUUUUUUCUAUUUUAUAUUUGAAAUUUUUAUUCAUUUUAUCGUUUUAUAUUUUUUUAUUCUCUAAUUUUUUAUUUUCUUACUUUUUUACUUUUUGUUUUUGUUUAUUUUUAAUUG